rnacentral:rRNA from 1 species
AUGUCUGGUGUCAAGAUCAAGUUCCACAAGAGUGAUGUGAUGGUGAUGGGUUACUCUCCAGUGGAGGCCCUCGACAUUGCCAACCGGCUCAACUGCCGCCUGGGAUAUUUCCCCACGACUUACUUCGGAACGCCCAUUAGUGACUCUCGGCUUACCUUUGCUGACUUGCGUCCGACUGUGGCCAGGCUGGAAAUGCGCAUUGAGCCAUGGCAGGGUAGGUGGCUGUCGAAGGCGGCCCGGACGAUUCUCAUCAACUCCUCCCUCUCCAACCUUCUCUUGUUCCGCAUGAGCUUAUACAGCCUUCACGAGACUUUACACCAUGAGAUCGCCAAAGUCCAGUCUUGCUUCUAUUGGGCUGGUGAUAACAAUAAGAAGAAAUGCCAUAUGGUUAGCUGGCCAGACAUCAGCAAGCCCUGGGAACAAGGAGGCCUCGGUAUCAUGUGCUCUAAGCGCAUGAAUAUUGCCCUCCUUUCCCACUGGCUCUGGCGCAUCUCUCAA